GGAGGGGUGGGGAUGGGGUUCCCAGAAUAGGACAGUAGGGUUAGGGGCACAGGGAUCAAAUGGGGAGUUCACUGAGGGGGAGGGCUUCAGUGAAUGGGGCUGGGAUAUGGAGGGGAUUCAGUGAGGAAGAGGAGCCUCAUAUAAGGGGUAGGCACACACUCACCCCCCACCCACGACGGCAGGGUGGCUCAUGCCUGGAAUCCCAGCACUUUGAGAGAGCAAAGGGGAGGAUCGCUUGAGGCCAGGAGUUCGAAACCAGCCUGGGCAACAUAGUGAGACCCUGUCUCUGCAAAAUUUUUCAAAUUAGCCAGGUUGGGGGUCCAUGCCUGUAGUCCCAGCUACUCAAGAGGCUGAGGAGGGAGGAUCGCUUGGGCCCAGGAGUUCAAGGCUGCAGUGAGCUAUGAUCCCACCACUGCAACCCAGCCUGAGCAACACAGCAAGACUGUAUCUCCAAAAUUUAAAAAAAGAGGAGGGGGCUUACUGAGAUGGUGAGAACUUAGAAGCAGUGCAGGCUAAAUAAGGGGCUGGGUUAUCCUUUUUCUCUUUUACAAAAGAUUGUACCGUGAGGUUGGCGACCUGUAGGGGAUGUGCCCUGUUGGGUUCCCCAAAUCUCUGCCUGGCCCUGUAAGGGCAGGGGCUGCAGGUCCCCCCCUCAGCCCGCCCCCUCCCCGCCCCGCUCCUCCAGCCAGGUAGCAGCCCGAACACUUGGGAGGCUAGGUCACACCCCCCACGCCGGGAAAAGGGGUGGAGAAAAGUCGUCCUGAGACGGAUGGUGAGCGUCCCUGUCGCCGGCAGUGUGGUGGAGAGGUGGAGACCCCGCUGCUGACCGAGGAUGCUGAUGUGGGCCUGGAGUAAGCGCCCUUUGAUGAUGACGACGGCCUGGUGGACUGUGACUCCCGGCCGCCUGCUACCAUGGCCACUGCAGGUACAGGUCAGUGGCUGCUGCGGCGGGGAUGGGGGGCGUGUGGGGCUGCACUCCCUCACCGCCUCCACUCCCGCACCUUCUCCCCAAGGACCAAGCACUGGUCUAGCAGCUCGGCAUCGCCCCCUCCCAAGAAAAAGAAGGAAAAGAAAGGCGGCCACCGGAGAAGCCGAGCCAGACUCACUGACCGGGCCCAUGUGUUACCAGCACCUGCUCCUAAGGAAGGAGACCACUACUACUCCUGCUGCCCUCCUCCCCCUACCUUGCCUAGUUCACAAGACAGGAGUAAAGGGAAUGAAACAAAAGUAAGAUAAAUAGCCAGACAACCUUGGC
rnacentral:lncRNA from 1 species